AUUGAACGCUGGCGGCAGGCCUAACACAUGCAAGUCGAACGAGUGGCGGACGGGUGAGUAAUGUCUGGGAAACUGCCUGAUGGAGGGGGAUAACUACUGGAAACGGUAGCUAAUACCGCAUACCAUCGGAUGUGCCCAGAUGGGAUUAGCUAGUAGGUGGGGUAAAGGCUAACCUAGGCGACGAUCCCUAGCUGGUCUGAGAGGAUGACAAGCCACACUGGAACUGAGAUACGGUCCAGACUCAUUAGCGAGGCAGCAGGGGGGAAUAUUGCAAAAGGGGCGCAAGCCUGAUGCAGCCAGGCCGCGUGUAUGAAGAAGGCCUUCGGGUUGUAAAGUACUUUAAGCGGGGAGGCGUUACCGGCAGAAGAAGCACCGGCUAACUCCGUGCCAGCAGCCGCGGUAAUUC
rnacentral:rRNA from 1 species